rnacentral:rRNA from 1 species
GAUGAACGCUGACAGAAUGCUUAACACAUGCAAGUCAACUUGAACUUCGGUUUGGGUGGCGGACGGGUGAGUAACGCGUACAGAACUUGCCUCACAGAUAGGGACAACAUUUGGAAACGAAUGCUAAUACCUGAUAUUAUGAUUUUAGGGCAUCCUAGGAUUAUGAAAGCUAUAUGCGCUGUGAGAGAGCUUUGCGUCCCAUUAGCUAGUUGGAGAGGUAACGGCUCACCAAGGCGAUGAUGGGUAGCCGGCCUGAGAGGGUGAUCGGCCACAAGGGGACUGAGACACGGCCCUUACUCCUACGGGAGGCAGCAGUGGGUAAUAUUGGACAAUGGACCAAGAGUCUGAUCCAGCAAUUCUGUGUGCACGAUGAAGUUUUUCGGAAUGUAAAGUGCUUUCAGUUGGGAAGAAAAAAAUGACGGUACCAACAGAAGAAGUGACGGCUAAAUACGUG